AGGGUGACAGCCCCGUACACAAAAGCGCAUGUGCUGUGAGCUCGAUGAGUAGGGCGGGACACGUGGUAUCCUGUCUGAAUAUGGGGGGACCAUCCUCCAAGGCUAAAUACUCCUGACUGACCGAUAGUGAACCAGUACCGUGAGGGAAAGGCGAAAAGAACCCCGGCGAGGGGAGUGAAAAAGAACCUGAAACCGUGUACGUACAAGCAGUGGGAGCACAGGUUUACCUGUGUGACUGCGUACCUUUUGUAUAAUGGGUCAGCGACUUAUAUUCUGUAGCAAGGUUAACCGAAUAGGGGAGCCGGAGGGAAACCGAGUCUUAAUUGGGCGUUAAGUUGCAGGGUAUAGACCCGAAACCCGGUGAUCUAGCCAUGGGCAGGUUGAAGGUUGGGUAACACUAACUGGAGGACCGAACCGACUAAUGUUGAAAAAUUAGCGGAUGACCUGUGGCUGGGGGUGAAAGGCCAAUCAAACCGGGAGAUAGCUGGUUCUCCCCGAAAGCUAUUUAGGUAGCGCCUCGUGAAUUCAUCUCCGGGGGUAGAGCACUGUUUCGGCUAGGGGGCCAUCCCGGCUUACCAACCCGAUGCAAACUGCGAAUACCGGAGAAUGUUAUCACGGGAGACACACGGCGGGUGCUAACGUCCGUCGUGAAGAGGGAAACAACCCAGACCGCCAGCUAAGGUCCCAAAGUCAUGGUUAAGUGGGAAACGAUGUGGGAAGGCCCAGACAGCCAGGAUGUUGGCUUAGAAGCAGCCAUCAUUUAAAGAAAGCGUAAUAGCUCACUGGUCGAGUCGGCCUGCGCGGAAGAUGUAACGGGGCUAAACCAUG
rnacentral:rRNA from 1 species